rnacentral:rRNA from 1 species
AGAGUUUGAUCAUGGCUCAGGACGAACGCUGGCGGCGUGCCUAACACAUGCAAGUCGAGCGAUGAAACCCUUCGGGGUGGAUUAGCGGCGGACGGGUGAGUAACACGUGGGUAACCUGCCUUAUAGAGGGGGAUAGCCUUCCGAAAGGAAGAUUAAUACCGCAUAACAUGUUUUUAUCACAUGGUAGAAACAUCAAAGGAGCAAUCCGCUAUAAGAUGGACCCGCGGCGCAUUAGCUAGUUGGUGAGGUAAGGGCUCACCAAGGCGACGAUGCGUAGCCGACCUGAGAGGAUGAACGGCCACACUGGGACUGAGACACGGCCCAGACUCCUACGGGAGGCAGCAGUAGGGAAUCUUCCGCAAUGGACGAAAGUCUGACGGAGCAACGCCGCGUGAGUGAUGAAGGCUUUCGGGUCGUAAAACUCUGUUGUUAGGGAAGAACAAGUGCUAGUUGAAUAAGCUGGCACCUUGACGGUACCUAACCAGAAAGCCACGGCUAACUACGUGCCAGCAGCCGCGGUAAUACGUAGGUGGCAAGCGUUAUCCGGAAUUAUUGGGCGUAAAGCGCGCGCAGGUGGUUUCUUAAGUCUGAUGUGAAAGCCCACGGCUCAACCGUGGAGGGUCAUUGGAAACUGGGAGACUUGAGUGCAGAAGAGGAAAGUGGAAUUCCAUGUGUAGUGGUGAAAUGCGUAGAUAUCGGGAGGAAUACCAGUGGCGAAGGCGGCUUCUUGGCCUGUUCUUGACGCUGAGGCGCGAAAGCUGGGGGAGCAAACGGGAUUAGAUACCCCGGUAGUCCCAGCC